UGUGACUCUCUCAUGAGUCGCACUUGGCCUCCUCUCCACUGUUUUUCGUCCCUCAGACAUUCUGCUCUCUGACCUCCAGCCAGGUGGCUCUUCUCGGGUAUUUUUAGACUUAGCAUGUCUUCUGGCUGCCUCUCAGGAAGCAGCUACUUGGGUGGUGCUCACUCUUUCAGUCCUAGGACUAAACUCUCUUGAGUGGGGAAUUACCAAUGCAGCGAGGCCGGGCUUUCCUGGGUCACACUUCUGGUGAAUGUUCUUGAGGUCAGCAGCAAUUUUUUUUUUCUUCUCUGACAAUCUGAGCUGUACAUAGUGACAAAUGAAACCUGGCUGCUUUGCAUGUCCUUGGGGGCCUCUCAGUCAGGUGGUUCUUCUGGAACAUUCCAGCUGGUCUAAUUCCUUUUGAAACACCGCCCCCCCCCCUUGUGAGGCCAGGCAGGUGUCUGAAAGGACACUCAGCCUAAACAGGAACUCUCUGUGUGCUCAUGAGGCCCACCGUUCUGCCCAGGGAAGUGGGAGGCAGCAAAC
rnacentral:lncRNA from 1 species